rnacentral:rRNA from 1 species
CAGUCGACGAUGAUGCCCAGCUUGCUGGGUGGAUUAGUGGCGAACGGGUGAGUAACACGUGAGUAACCUGCCCCUGACUCUGGGAUAAGCGUUGGAAACGACGUCUAAUACUGGAUAUGAUCACUGGCCGCAUGGUCUGGUGGUGGAAAGAUUUUUUGGUUGGGGAUGGACUCGCGGCCUAUCAGCUUGUUGGUGAGGUAAUGGCUCACCAAGGCGACGACGGGUAGCCGGCCUGAGAGGGUGACCGGCCACACUGGGACUGAGACACGGCCCAGACUCCUACGGGAGGCAGCAGUGGGGAAUAUUGCACAAUGGGCGAAAGCCUGAUGCAGCAACGCCGCGUGAGGGAUGACGGCCUUCGGGUUGUAAACCUCUUUUAGUAGGGAAGAAGCGAAAGUGACGGUACCUGCAGAAAAAGCACCGGCUAACUACGUGCCAGCAGCCGCGGUAAUACGUAGGGUGCAAGCGUUGUCCGGAAUUAUUGGGCGUAAAGAGCUCGUAGGCGGUUUGUCGCGUCUGCUGUGAAAUCCCGAGGCUCAACCUCGGGCUUGCAGUGGGUACGGGCAGACUAGAGUGCGGUAGGGGAGAUUGGAAUUCCUGGUGUAGCGGUGGAAUGCGCAGAUAUCAGGAGGAACACCGAUGGCGAAGGCAGAUCUCUGGGCCGUAACUGACGCUGAGGAGCGAAAGCAUGGGGAGCGAACAGGAUUAGAUACCCUGGUAGUCCAUGCCGUAAACGUUGGGCGCUAGAUGUAGGGACCUUUCCACGGUUUCUGUGUCGUA